GAAGUGCCCCUCAGCCUCAAAAGGCACAAAAAAGUGUCCCACUUCUCGAGCAAGCACAACAGUCCCCUACAGAUCUGUGGGAGGAUGGCCAAGACCUUAAUGGUUUGGAUUACGAAGUUGAACCGUCACACACAGCCCCCACACCACCACCACCAGCACACAUGGACACUACAUCCAAGCCUGCUGCAGACGCACUCCCCAAAGCUGCAUACCCAAAAGCCCACACUCCUUUUACUGACAUUGGUGAUGGCAAGGUAAGUGCACGACUGUGUUCCCUUCAUUUCUUUUUUAAAGAUUUUGUUUUCAUUUACAGUAUCACGUGAAAGAUGGCCUCAUGAUUGGAAGCAAGCAGGCGGAAAAAAUCCUGGGCCAUAAAAAACCUCC